GCAUUUAAAACAAGUAAUGUUCCUGAGAUAAAUGUACAUUAAUCUGCAGAUCUAACCCUCACCUUUAAAAAGAUUUUGUAUGCAUUGGGAUCCAUUGGUGUUGUUUUGCUGAAUGCUGCUGCACUGAUGACAGAAAUGAUACUAAAAACAGUUAAUGGUGAGCGUGCAGUUGGCGAUUUGAGAAUUGUUGUCUUCUCCUCUGAAAGCAUCUUUACUCUUUCUCUGCUGAUUUUGCUCAUGUUUGGAUGCUACCCAGAAUGCUGCAGCAUCUGAUGAAACUCCAGCCACUGGAUCAAACCAAAAUCAAAUUGCAACAGAAUCACAUGAAAUGAAUCCUGUACUGAAUCAAGAUCAGGAGCCUGGUGUGAGUGACACGACAAAAACUAAUACAGAUUCAGGUGAAUCACAAACAUUCAAUGAGGGAAGAAAACUCAACCUGAUCCCACAUUUCCUUGAACUCUGAGUGCUGCGCUGCUUAAAAAAACAAAAAACAAAGUGACCUAGCUUGAAACAAUAAGUCAACCUAUAACAGUCACCUUAAGUUAACUCACCUGUUAUGCCUCAUGGCUCAAAAGGGAUGUAACAGAAAUAGGGACAUAUGAGAAAGCCAAAAUUGAAUGCAAAAAAUUAAAGUAAACUAUACUGAACCUUUUGAAAAAGAAAAAAAAAUCUUGUCAAUGCAACAAGAUUGUUUAAAGUGGAAGAGAAGCAGUCAGUAAAGUUCACAUUAUUUAGUAGACUGAAUUCCACUUUAAUAAAAAAAAAAUUAAAUAGUACACACACACACACACACACACACACACAUACAGUCCUUCUACAAAAAUUAGACAUACAUAUGAGAAAGCCAAAAUUGAAUGCAAAAUUAAAGUAAACUAUACUGAACCUUUUGAAAAGAAAAAUACUUGUCAAUGCAACAAGAUUGUUUAAAGU
rnacentral:lncRNA from 1 species